AUUGUCCAGCUGGAAAGUGCCUAUGUCAUCCCCUGCAGGAAUGAGCAGAACGCAGAGCAGGAGGCAUUGCAGCUGGUGCAGCAGCCCCCACUGACAGACAUGAGACAACUGCUGUGAUUUAACACCCCCCCACCCUGCAAUGGCUAAACCUGCUUUACAAACUUGUGGCUAGGUUCCUUCGCUCUUCUUUGCCUGCACACAUAUCAUAACCCUGGGUUCAGGAUUAUGCAGGAGAGAUUCCUUGUCUGCAGCCAUGAUUGCUCAGCCCUGGCAGAGAGCCAGGCUUCAUACCCAGGUGACUGCUUAGAAAUACCCUGAGCUCUCUGAAACUCUCCCAGAAGCAUCACCACAGAGAAGAACUCUGUCCUCUGCUGCUUACCAUUUGGUAGAUAAUUUGGUAGCAAUCAAGUUCUCUACACUCUUCUUCCAUUUUCUUCUGAAAUUCAGCUCAGUAUACAGUAUAUUUACCUAACAAGACUCCCCAUUUCUGCAGCUGAAGGAAAAGUGCAUGAUGGAUGUUUGGGCAGCUAAAAGGACUCAGAAAUAGACUGUACCUGUCUCCAGAAGGGGCUUUGCCUGAACAUAAGACUGAAGGUGAAAAGGAACAGAUAAGUGAAUAUAGCACGUGGGUUAAUAGAUUGUCCUCAGAUGAGAGCCUGUGUACUGAUCAGGUGCCUUGGCAACCAAAGGGCACUACACAGGCAUUGGGGUGAGCCCUUUCUCAG